rnacentral:rRNA from 1 species
CCCUUAGAGUUUGAUCCUGGCUCAGGAUGAACGCUAGCUACAGGCUUAACACAUGCAAGUCGAGGGGCAGCAUGGUCUUAGCUUGCUAAGGCUGAUGGCGACCGGCGCACGGGUGAGUAACACGUAUCCAACCUGCCGUCUACUCUUGGCCAGCCUUCUGAAAGGAAGAUUAAUCCAGGAUGGGAUCAUGAGUUCACAUGUCCGCAUGAUUAAAGGUAUUUUCCGGUAGACGAUGGGGAUGCGUUCCAUUAGAUAGUAGGCGGGGUAAUGGCCCACCUGGUCAACGAUGGAUAGGGGUUCUGAGAGGAAGGUCCCCCACAUUGGAACUGAGACACGGUCCAAACUCCUACGGGAGGCAGCAGUGAGGAAUAUUGGUCAAUGGGCGAUGGCCUGAACCAGCCAAGUAGCGUGAAGGAUGACUGCCCUAUGGGUAGUAAACUUCUUUUAUAAAGGAAUAAAGUCGGGUAUGCAU